GUGACGCCCCCGGGCAUCGGGGACGAAACAAAAGUUCCUCAAAUCCCCCUAAAAUUUUUUAAAUGCCCCCAAAAUUUCUGCUUUUUGCAUCAAGGACAAAGCCCCUCCUCACAACCCAGCGCUGUCCCCUCUCUUGGGGGUCUCUGUCCUCUCUCUGUCCCUUCCCAGGGGUCUCUGUCCCUUUUUGGGGAGGGGUCUCUGUGUCCCCUUUUAGGGUCUCUGUCCCUUUUUGGGGAGGGGUCUCUGUGUCCUCUUUUGGGGUCUCUGUCCCCUUUUGGGGGGGGUCUCUGUCCCCUCUCUUG
rnacentral:lncRNA from 1 species